UGCAUGGCACGGCAGUGACGCGGCGGCGGCGCGGCACGAGGAGGUGGUGUCAGUGUGGUGCUGUGGUGGUCGGGGAAAACGCAGAUUUCGGCAUUUGGUGUGAGGGCGUUUUGGAGGUGGUGAGCACUUCGCCCUGAACUGCGAACGGAUUUGUGCAACAUAUCUCGCACCUUACUUAGACAGUUUGUGAUGCAUCUUGUCACCUAAGCAUUGAAGACGUAGUGAUUAAAUGCUUGCCACCGUGCCGUAACCUCCUGCGAGUGACUGUCGACCUCUGACUGACUGCAUCUCCUCCUACCGUCCACCAUGAAGAUCAGCUACGUGACGUGUCGGAUCCAGUUUCUGAACGACGUCGACCCGUUCGGGUACAGUGCCGGUCUGGAGCCCACCCGGCCUCCCUCCUAUGUGUUCAACACGCGCCUGCCGCUGGGGAACCAGCUGCCCAGCGUGCACCGUCAGCUCAUGGCGCCACAGAAGCUAUCGGAUGCUACACUACAGAUUUACCGGGACGGCGAGCUGGGCAGCUACCUGGACCCCGAGUUGUCCAUCAACGAACAGCAUGACGAGUUCGAGGGCUUCGUCGACAAUCCGAAGAACGCGCUGGUGGUUCGGACCCAGCUGUCGGUGCGGUGUCACGCCAUCAUCGAAAAGCUGCUCAACUCUCAGGACAGGGACCUGCGCAGGGCGCUCUUCUCACUCAAACAGAUAUUCCAGGACGACAAGGAUCUUGUUCACGAGUUUGUCUGCAACGAUGGCCUCGAAUGUCUCAUCAAAGUGGGCAUGGAGGCUGACCAGAAGUACCAGAACUACAUUUUACGAGCUCUCGGUCAGGUGAUGCUGUACGUGGACGGCAUGAACGGUGUCAUGGAGCACCCGGAGACCAUCCAGUGGCUGUACACGCUGCUCGACUCGCAGUACCGCCUGGUCGUGAAGACGGCACUCAAGCUGCUGCUCGUCUUUGUCGAGUACACGGAGCCCAACGGACUGCUGCUGGUCAGAGCCGUCGGAGCCGUUGACAGGGAGAGAGGCCGGACCCCAUGGCACGGUCUGAUGACCCUGCUCAAGUCGUCGGACGCCGCCGAUGCCGAACUACUCGUGUUUGCCAUCACACUGAUCAACAAGGCGCUGAACGCUGUGGACGACCAGUCGGUGUUCUACGACAACACCGACUGGAUCGAGGAGCUCGGCAUCGAGGCCGUUACCAACAAGUACCUCUCUCGGGCGGACACUGAGCCGGAGCUCUCUCAGCAGCUGCAGAUCUACGAGGCCGUGCUGCGGAAGGAGGACGGCGAGUCGGACGGCAACAGCAUGCCGGCGGACGCCAGUAUCAGGACGCUGCCGCGGCUGCGGCGCGGCGCGGCCGGCGAGCCCGACCAGCGGCGUCGCUCGCGACGCUUCUCGACGCGCCGCGUCUCCUCCGACUCGCCCAGCUCUCCGGAAGAGGAGAGCGAGGGUGGAGCGCCCACGUUCGCCUUCUACCGACCGGUCGGCGAGAACUGGACCGUCAGCGACCGGCGCCGCAUGUUCGCCAGAGACGGGCCGAGCAGCUCCGGAGCAGGGGUCGAGAUCAACGGACACUCGGGCUCACAGCAGGACGCCUCCAAAUACGCCGAGAUGGGCGUCACCCCGGGCCUCCGCCGGCGCCGGGAGAGGCAGGAGCGGCAGAGGAGCUUCAUCCGCGAACAGGAGGAGCGGGGCUCACUCUCUCCGGAAAAGGAGGAGGCGGACAGGAGGACUGACGAGCAGAACCGCAAGAACGCGCAGCUGAGCCGCCUGGAGCCGCCGGCGACCGGCGGCGUGCCCCUCACCCGAGAUCCCAGCUCCCUGGGCUCGGACCACGGACCGGCGCCGCUCUGCCGCACCGAGUCCGGCAUCCUGAAGAAGCCCUGGGUGCUGGGUAUGAUGUACCAGAAGGCGCCCGACGAGCACCCACCGGCCUCCACCACCGGCGGGGAGGGUGACGAGGCCUCCCGGAGGCGACUAGAGCUGGACCUCAAACAGGACAGCGUGCGGGACCUGCGGGAGAAGCUGCUCAGCCAGCCGAGCCCGCUCUCACCGGGCGAGGAGCGGCCCGGGCGGCUGGGGGACACCAGCGGGCUCAUCUCCAAAGCCAAGGAGGAGCUGUCGCGCUCCAAGAGCAAACACGACCUCAAGAGUCCCGAGGUGGUGCGUCAGGCAGCUCCCGAGGCGCCCAAGAAGUCCGAGAACGACCUGCACUGGGAGCAGCUGAUCCGUGGUCUGGAGAGACCUCUGGUGCUGGCAGAUCUGGACUUUUCCGAUCUGAAUGACCGCGAUGACGCCGAUCUGCCGACGCUCUCGAUGUCGGUGGGGACGAACGGCGUGCCGCCGCCGCCCCCGCCCAUGGGAGGCGUGCCGCCGCCGCCGCCCAGGAUGCCCGGCAUGCCGCCCCCGCCCCCGCCACCGGUACCUGGCGGCCGACCCGGCAGGACGGUGACAGACGGCAAACAGUCGGCAUUCUAUCAGAACAGGACCAACGGCACGGCCCCGACGAUACCGGCCAAAACCAAGAAGACGGUCAAACUCUUCUGGAGGGAGGUUCGGGACGAGUUCCUGCCGGCCAACCAGACCACCAUCUGGGACGAGAUCGCCGAGGUAGCCGUCGACACGCAGAAGCUCGAGCACCUGUUUGAAUCUCGCGCCAAAGAUCUGAUCGUCAAGGAGAAGCAGCAGGAGUCGAAGGGCACCAAGGAGAUCGUGGUGCUGGACCACAAGCGGUCCAACGCCAUCAACAUCUGCAUGACCAAGCUGCCGCCGCCGCGCACCAUCAAGACGGCCAUCUUGAAAAUGGACGCCACCAUCAUCAACAAGGAGGGGAUCGAGAAGCUGCUGUCGCUGCUGCCGUCGGAUGAAGAGAUAAGUAAGAUCAGCGAGGCCCAGGUGGCCAACCCGGAGCUGCCGCUCGGCUCGGCGGAGAACUUCCUGCUCACUCUGGGCUCCAUCUCAGAGAUCGCCGCUCGACUCAAGCUGUGGGUCUUCAAACUGGACUAUGACAACACAGAGAAGGAAGUGGCCGAGCCUCUGAUGGACCUCAAGCAGGGCAUCGAAUUGCUGACCAAGAACGCCACCUUCAAGUCGAUCCUGACGGUGCUGAGGAGCGUCGGGAACUUCCUUAACGGCUCGGAGGCGAAGGGUUUCAACGUGGACUACCUGGCCAAGGUCCCGGAGGUGAAGGAUACGGUGCACAAGCACUCACUGCUGCACCACCUGUGUCAUAUGGUGAUGGAGAAGUACCCCGACUCGUCCGACCUCUACUCAGAGGUCGGCCCGGUCACUCGCGCCUCUCGUAUCGACUUCGACGACCUGGAGGCGACGAUUCGACGGAUGGAGAGCGAGUGCAAGGCGUCGUGGGACCACCUGAAGGUGAUCGCCAAGCACGACGGGCCGACGCCGAUGCGACAGAAGAUGUCGGAGUUUCUGGCCGACUCGGCGGAGAGGAUCAUCGUACUGGGCAUCAUCCACCGACGGGUUAAUAACAGGUUCUGCAAGUUCCUCUCGUGGCUGGGCGUGGCCCCUCACCAGCUCCGCGACACCAAGCCGCACCACUUCUGUAAGGUGGUGUCCGAGUUCGCGCUCGAGUACCGCACCACUCGCGAGCGCGUCCUGCAGCAGCUUGAGAAGAAGGCCAACCACCGCGAGAGGAACAAGACGAGAGGAAAGAUGAUCACUGAUACGGGUCAGGCGUACGACCCUGCGGGCCGCUCGAGCUCCAACCGUCGGUACCGGACCAAGGAGGAGAAGGCCGACGACGACCUGAAGCAGCUGCUCGGUACCAGUGACGUGUCCGAUACAGAGACUCUGAGGCGGUCCAUGCACUGGAGGCGGAAACGGGAGAGUGAGUGCCGUGGAGGGGUUAGAGUCGGUGGCAGAGUCAGUCAGAGUCAUUGGGGUAAAGUUAGGCAGAGUCGGUGACUUCAUCGCCGACUCAUACUCAGAUGAUCAGAAGCGGAGUGACGGUGGAGAGUUCGGGGAGAGUGAGAAUGGUGGUCUGAUAACGGUGAAGGCUUCACAUGGGUUUUGUUUUUUGUGUGUAAAUACUGAGGUGGGAUAUAGUGCAGCUGUACUUUAUAUGGCAACGGUAUAUAGUGCACUUGUUCUUAGUACGUCAACACAACACGUGCAGUGACGUCACACGAUUUCUGAACACGAUGUCUAAAACUGGGUGCGGCGAGGGCUCACACAGAUGUAAGUUAGUGUUUAUUUCAUUUCUGUUUUCUGUCGCAGGCUGUGUGUUUGACGUUUAAAUCCCUUAUGACCACAUGAAAAGCGUACAUAUUUAUCGAUCUCGCUGAAUCCGGGCUCAUACAUACAGUGCUUCGCUUCAGUGAAGAGUGAAGACUAUAAAACAACCCUGAAUCAUCCAUUUAACUAUUAUGUGAUAUAUGCUGUUCUUGACCCGCAUUGUAUUUAACGUAAUAUAAAAUCGUCCAAAUAACCAACACCCAAGUGAGCUGACUUUUAUGCAACCCUAACUGAAGAAGCAUGUUAGAGUGUUAUAACGUUAAGUCCAGUCAGACAUGCUGGACACCCGUUGGAUGUUAAUGUCUGACGUGUAAUGCAUGUUCUGCAGGUAAGGGCAGCCACAACGACUCGCUGACUGACGGCGAUGAGAUCCUCGAGUCGCUGGUGAAGUCGGCCACGCGCGGUCCCACCACCCGCUCCACACCUAGGGAGAGACGGAGGACGUCCCGUAAUGCUGAUAGAAAGUCGCUGCGGAGAACGCUGAAGAACGGUCUCAGCGAGGAAGAGCAGCACUACCUGCUGACGCUGGCUGCUCAGGUGCAGCAGUGCUGAGCUGAGCUGAGCUGAGCUGAGCUGAGCUGGGUUGGACUGGACUGACGGACGCCACCGGUGGCUCUCCUUCCCACACCGCGCCGUAACCUCACUGCCUAUGUCAUGUCCAUGUACCCGCCGCCGCACUGUGAGAGAUGUGAGAGGGUGAGGGCGCCGGUACCGAGCCGUCCCGCCGGUGAGAGGGGCUGACUGUCCCUCAGUGGCGUCUCGAGCUCCCAUCGGCGGCCUGCAGUGCCUACCGCGCCCGGGUCUCCCAGCGCUGGGCGGUGUGGCUCUCUAGUCUGUGGCCGUAUCGGCUGCAUCGCCUGAGUCCCGUGUGGAGUCACGGUACACAGGCUGACCAUGCUCGUCCACAAAUGCCGGCGACGUCGGAGGUCGUGCCGCGUGCCUUCGCAGAACGGCCGUCUCUCGGGACGAGGACGUUUAGGUGACCACGGCCUGGCCAGUGGACGGACCGAAGGCGCGUCCCGUCCGGCGAGGGCGUACUAUUUGUCGGUCAUGUAUGUUCGCCGCGGGGCACGAUCUGCGCGCCAGUUAUGAGCGUUUGGCGCGGUUUUUGUACGGUAUCGUGACGUUAUGUCGGUGCGCGGUGACCCCGCGUCGGUCGGAUUUCUGUGAGGACGGACCGCGUCCGGAGCAUGCGGGCGUCUGUAUAUACUUUAUGCAUACAUCCAUAGACGUGCGGUCGUGUGUGUAUGUGUGUGUGUGCGGGUGGCGCGUGUGUGUUAACUGUGAUGUCGGGGCGCGUGACUGUGAUACCUCUUUGCAAUGCGCGCGAACACAGGCCUACACGGCCGCAAAUACACUGAAUUGUGUCUCAUCGAGA
rnacentral:misc_RNA from 1 species